rnacentral:rRNA from 1 species
CCUACGGGUGGCAGCAGUCGGGAAUUUUGCGCAAUGGACGAAAGCCUGACGCAGUGACGCCGCGUAUAGGAAGAAGGUCUUCGGAUUGUAAACUACUGUCGUUAGGGAAGAUAAAAGACUGUACCUAAGGAGGAACCCCUGGCUAACUACGUGCCAGCAGCCGCGGUAAUACAUAGGGUGCAAGCGUUAUACGGAAUUAUUGGGUGUAAAGGGGGCGUAGGCGGAAGAAGAAGUGGGUUGUGAAAUCCCUGGGCUCAACUGAGGAACUGCAAACGAGACUAUUCGCCUUGAGUGCGGGAGAGGAAAGUGGAAUUCCACGUGUAGCAGUGAAAUGCGUAGAUAUUUGGAGGAACACCAGUGGCGAAGGCGACGUUCUGGAAGGUAACUGACGUUGAGGCACGAAAGCGUGGGGAGCAAACAGGAUUAGAUACCCUUGUAGUC